rnacentral:rRNA from 1 species
UGGGGAAUAUUGGACAAUGGGCGCAAGCCUGAUCCAGCCAUGCCGCGUGAGUGACGAAGGCCUUAGGGUUGUAAAGCUCUUUUGGCGGGGAAGAUAAUGACGGUACCCGCAGAAUAAGCUCCGGCUAACUUCGUGCCAGCAGCCGCGGUAAUACGAAGGGAGCUAGCGUUGUUCGGAAUCACUGGGCGUAAAGCGCACGUAGGUGGGCAGUUAAGUCAGGGGUGAAAGCCCGAGGCUCAACCUCGGAAUUGCCUCUGAUACUGGCUGUCUAGAGUUCGAGAGAGGUGAGUGGAAUUCCUAGUGUAGAGGUGAAAUUCGUAGAUAUUCGCAAGAACACCAGUGGCGAAGGCGGCUCACUGGCCCGGUACUGACGCUGAGGUGCGAAAGCGUGGGGAGCAAACAGGAUUAGAUACCCAAGUAGUCCCUGAGCGGGCUGGCAAGGCGCAU